rnacentral:snRNA from 1 species
GUGCUCGCUUUGGCAGCACAUACACUAAAA